UUAAGCAUAUCAAUAAGCGGAGGAAAAGAAACCAACAGGGAUUGCCCUAGUAACGGCGAGUGAAGCGGCAACAGCUCAAAUUUGAAAUCUGGCCCCCCCGGCCCGAGUUGUAAUUUGUAGAGGAUGCUUCUGGGUAGCGACCGGUCUAAGUUCCUUGGAACAGGACGUCAUAGAGGGUGAGAAUCCCGUAUGUGACUGGCCCGCGCCCUCCACGUAGCUCCUUCGACGAGUCGAGUUGUUUGGGAAUGCAGCUCUAAAUGGGAGGUAAAUUUCUUCUAAAGCUAAAUACCGGCCUGAGACCGAUAGCGCACAAGUAGAGUGAUCGAAAGAUGAAAAGCACUUUGGAAAGAGAGUUAAAAAGCACGUGAAAUUGUUGAAAGGGAAGCGCUUACAACCAGACUUUGGGGCGGUGUUCCGCCGGUCUUCUGACCGGUCUACUCUCCGUCCCGAGGCCAACAUCAUCUGGGACCGCCGGAUAAGACCCGAGGAAUGUAGCUCCCCCUCGGGGGAGUGUUAUAGCCUCGGAUGAUGCGGCGCGUCCCGGGUGAGGUCCGCGCUUCGGCAAGGAUGUUGGCGUAAUGGUUGUCAGCGGCCCGUCUUGAAACACGGACCAAGGAGUCUAACAUCUAUGCGAGUGUUCGGGUGUCAAACCCCUACGCGGAAUGAAAGUGAACGGAGGUGGGAAGGGUAACCUGCACCAUCGACCGAUCCUGAUGUCCUCGGAUGGAUUUGAGUAAGAGCAUAGCUGUUGGGACCCGAAAGAUGGUGAACUAUGCCUGAAUAGGGUGAAGCCAGAGGAAACUCUGGUGGAGGCUCGCAGCGGUUCUGACGUGCAAAUCGAUCGUCAAAUUUGGGUAUAGGGGCGAAAGACUAAUCGAACCAUCUAGUAGCUGGUUCCUG
rnacentral:rRNA from 1 species